rnacentral:siRNA from 1 species
CCGAAAUCUGAAUAUCUAGGCCU